rnacentral:sRNA from 11 species
GGCUAGGUUGAUGUCCCCUUCCUUCCUUCCUGCUCCAUGUGCAUCUCUUCUAAAGUUGUGCACUAGGUGUAAGAGGAUGAUCAUCCCAGAUAAGAGAGAACUGUUCUUCAGUUUCCCUUACCAAAUAAAUUAGCUUAUUGAGCCAAGCUGCCUCAUACAAUGAGCCUCUCAAAGCCACAUCACUCAAGUAAAAAAAAAAACCUUU